CUCCGAGCUGGUGGAGAGGCACAGCGAAGGCAGCUGGAUAAAUUCAUAGCUGUGAAAGUCCUGGAUCAAAUGGUACUCGGAGAAUUAAAGCUGACUGGACUCAGUUCCUGGAAUUUUCUAGAAUGGUAGAAGUGGAAAAUGUAAGAAAUGUAUAAGGAACAAAAAUAAAUAAUGUUUGCAGCCUGUUGCUGGCGGUAGUCUGAUCUAGGGAUUUAAAGGAGGCAGGAUGAAUCCCAAUCCAUGCCACCACUGCCACCAUCUCUUAUAGAGAGGGACAUACCCCUGUGAUUCGCCUCUUUU